rnacentral:rRNA from 1 species
CAGCCGCCGCGGUAAUACGAAGGGUGCAAGCGUUACUCGGAAUUACUGGGCGUAAAGCGUGCGUAGGUGGUUCGUUAAGUCUGAUGUGAAAGCCCUGGGCUCAACCUGGGAAUUGCAUUGGAUACUGGCGAGCUAGCGUGCGGUAGAGGGUAGUGGAAUUCCCGGUGUAGCAGUGAAAUGCGUAGAGAUCGGGAGGAACAUCUGUGGCGAAGGCGACUGCCUGGACCAGCACUGACACUGAGGCACGAAAGCGUGGGGAGCAAACAGGAUUAGAUACCCCAGUAGUCCCUGUCUCUUAUAC